UGGAAGUUGUGUCUUGUUAUGUCCUGAAC
rnacentral:piRNA from 1 species